rnacentral:rRNA from 1 species
UACGGAGGGUGCAAGCGUUAUCCGGAUUCACUGGGUUUAAAGGGUGCGUAGGCGGGCAUUUAAGUCAGUGGUGAAAUACCUGAGCUUAACUUGGGAACUGCCAUUGAUACUAUUUGUCUUGAAUGUCGUGGAGGUUAGCGGAAUAUGUCAUGUAGCGGUGAAAUGCUUAGAUAUGACAUAGAACACCAAUUGCGAAGGCAGCUUGCUACACAGUUAUUGACGCUGAGGCACGAAAGCGUGGGGAUCAAACAGG